GGUCAAGCUACAAAGGGCGCAUGGUGAAUGCCUUGGCAUCAGGAGCCGAUGAAGGACGCGAUAAGCUGCGAUAAGCUUCGGGUAGACGCACAUAGUCAGAGA
rnacentral:rRNA from 1 species